GCCCUCGUGUUCCAACGGAUAGGAUACCUCUGUUCUAAUGAGGAAGGUGCAGGUUCAAGUCCUGCCGAGGGCG
rfam:Candidatus Moranbacteria bacterium CG2_30_41_165 cg_3.0_sub10_scaffold_1086_c, whole genome shotgun sequence.